rfam:Ixodes scapularis strain Wikel colony gcontig_1108379593810, whole genome shotgun sequence.
CCCUGGUUAAGUCAGUUGGUAGAGCGCUCCACCUGUAAUGGAGAGGUCCCGGGUUCGAUACCCGGACCAGGCG